rnacentral:rRNA from 1 species
UACGUAGGGUGCAAGCGUUAAUCGGAAUUACUGGGCGUAAAGCGUACGCAGGCGGCUUUGCAAGACAGGUGUGAAAUCCCCGGGCCUAACCUGGGAACUGCAUUUGUGACUGCAUAGCUAGAGUUUGUCAGAGGGGGGUGGAAUUCCACGUGUAGCAGUGAAAUGCGUAGAUAUGUGGAGGAACACCGAUGGCGAAGGCAGCCUUCUGGGCCAACACUGACGCUCAUGCACGAAAGCGUGGGGAGCAAACAGG